GGGUCUGUAGCUCAGCUGGUUAGAGCGCACCCCUGAUAAGGGUAAGGUCGGAAGUUCAAGUCUUCCCAGACCCA
rnacentral:tRNA from 1 species